rnacentral:rRNA from 1 species
AGGCAGCAGGCGCGCAAAUUACCCAAUCCUAAUACAGGGAGGUAGUGACAAGAAAUAACAAUACAGGACUUUUUGGUUUUGUAAUUGGAAUGAGUUAAGUAUAAACCCCUUUACAAGUAUCAAUUGGAGGGCAAGUCUGGUGCCAGCAGCCGCGGUAAUUCCAGCUCCAAUAGCGUAUAUUAAAGUUGUUGCAGUUAAAAAGCUCGUAGUUGGAUUUCUGUUAAUAAUUUAUAUAAAAUAUUUUAAUUAAUAUUUAUAUAAUAUUAACAUAAUUCAUAUUACUAUAAUUAUUUUUUAGUAUAUGAAAUUUUACUUUGAGAAAAUUAGAGUGCUUAAAGCAGGCAUAUGCCUUGAAUACUCCAGCAUGGAAU